CCCAACUAUCCCUAUUAAUCAUUACGUCGAUCCUAGAAACCAACAAAAUAGAAUCAUGCCGUCCUAUUCUAUUAUUCCAUGCUAAUGUAUUCGAGCAAAAUGCCUGCUUUAAACACUCUAAUUUUUUCAAGGUAAAGGUCCUGGUUCCACAUGACACCCAAUUAAGGACAUCAUGCUUCUCCAGAAGGUGAGAAAUCAACUGCGACAGUUCAUACCCCUUAAGGCACGACCAUCACGUCAAUCCCGAAAUUCAACUACGAGCUUUUUAACUGCAACAACUUUAAUAUACGCUAUUGGAGCUGGAAUUACCGCGGCUGCUGGCACCAGACUUGCCCUCCAA
rnacentral:misc_RNA from 1 species